GAGAAAGCUAAUUAAGUCAUAAGCCUUAGAAGCACGAGGACUCAUCCCCUCUCUUCUCUCAAAAUCAAUUUUGCGUCAAAAUGUCAAAUUGGGUUUGGAAAAAUUUCUCACGUCUGCUCCCUCUUCCCCAAGACUCAAAAGGAGCUAUGUAUGGAAAGUAUUGGAGAUUUAGAAGGAAAGAUUUUGGCGAUACUUGGAGACGAAAAUGGCUGAGGCUUUUGCUGCUGAGAUCCACAAAGCUUGUUUUCUACAAAUUCAAGGUACCCAAUUUAGUUAACAGAUAUCUUUCUUUUUCUUGGUUGUUCGGAUUUGGGUUAACAGAUUUCUUUCUUUUUCUUAAUUGUUCGGAUUUGGGUUAUCAAUUUUCUGCUAUAUGUAUUGAUUGGUAGAUUGUUUUUGAUUUUUUGGGUGGCCAAACAGUGUGUUUCUGGACGUUUGUUGUUUAGUAUAUUAAUAAAGUUGGAUAUAAAGUUGGAUAGGCAACUCUAACUUAUUUGGGGAUGAGAUAGAGUUUGACAAAUUGAUAGAUGGAAAAAAGUUUAUUUUUUGGGGGCAUUUUUUUUAUUUGUUCUGCUUUUUCCAUAUCUCAAAUAUGAGAUUUUUGUGUUCUAAAAAAACUUACUAGGUUUGUUCUUUCCUAGUUUUUAGGCUCUUCAAGUUUGCUUGCAAAGCAUGUUUGUAAUACUUAAAACUUCUUUUUUAUUGUAUAUAAGACACCAGCACGAUGUUUGUUUAGUGGUGAACUUUAACAAGAUUAUCCAAUAUCUACAAAUAGUAGUGUUCGCGGGACCCUGAGCAUGAAACACAUUUAAUUAGAAUGGAAAAAGCUAGGUCAGAAUGAGAGCUUAUACUCAUCUGCAGGAAAGGAUUUGAACUGUUAAAAGAGAUCAUAUAUGACUAAAUGACAGGGGAUGAAGCUUACCUCUAGUAGAAGGUCCUUUGUAUUCCUUGUCAAGAUCAGAUAUUGCUAACAAAAAUGGAUGGAGAUUAUUUCAUAUAGAAGGUCUGCAUUCAUACAGGGCUGCCCUUAUCGACCCUACCUGCCCAAUUUUUUGGCACUCCAACUUAUACUAGAUAAAUAAAAUGCAGGCCUCACAACAAGUUUGUUCGCAAUCUAGCAGUAAAGUGGAGAGUUCCACCCAUCUGACCUUGUUAUUGCUCUCGGUGAUGGCACCAUCUUGACUUCAUGGUGGAUUGCCAAGCCACACACAAGUAUCAUGGCUUCUAAAUAGACAUACUACACUCAGGCACAAUGUUCAACAGUUUUCAGUACAUACAAGGGUUUAUAUAAUAACCUAUUGAAAUACAAUAACAAGAAGUAUAUUUAUAUAGCAUUGCAUGUAUGCAAGUAUAUAAGCUACAUGUUUUCAACCCAAACUCUACUUCUUUUCAUUUUAACAACUCUAGCUUUUGCACCUCUCCCCCAUAGUCCCAUUUGUGUACUCAAGAAAUUCCAAAACAUGCAGCAAAUAAACUCCAAAAUAUUCCCACAUCAAAGCAUGUAUGUAUAGAAAUAAUGGUACUAUUUAAAAAGAUUGGAUUAGUAUGAUCUCAUUUACUAGUUCAAUCUAAAAUAGAUCUAAAUCAAGUUCAAUCAAACAUCAAUUUGAUACUUGUUUUUCAAAAGUUAUAUUUACUUAAGAUGUCAAUUAUGGUAUUCUAUAGUCCUAUAUGCUUAGUUUUGAUAAAAUAUUAAAUAUUGUGGCGAUAGAGUGAACUAGUUUGUAAGAUUCACUUGAAAAAAUAAAGAAACUACAUGUGUUUUUUGCCAUGCUAGAUGAAUACAUUUGUAUAGUCAUUAGUAAAGUGUAUACAUUAUAAUAUAUAUUCGUAGUCUGUGAUAUAAUCUUUCUAGUUUCUAUCUAUAAGUACUCUUUUUUAGCUGAUUUUUUUGCUAUAUGUAUAGGUUAUUCUUAAUGGAUAAGAGUUGGAUAAACAUAUUGAAUAGGAAUGAUCCUCUGUAUGAGAAUGGAGCCAAAAAGUUUCUUCAUUUUGCUUCAUUAGAUAGGCCUAAUGCAUCUGAAAUCUUGUGUCCAUAUCGGAAGUGUCGUAAUAUGAAAUUUAUCUUGAAAGAGUUGAUUGUUGAA